rnacentral:sRNA from 1 species
AAAAAAAUCAUAUCAUAUACUCGCAGCCCAACUAAUCAUGCAUUCCUGUUGACUGACUUUAUACAUGCCUAGUGCUUUUGUUUUGUUUGAAUGCCUAAGAGGUACUUUGCUGAUCUGUACUUAGUAAAAAUGGUAAAAUCUGCUAGGUUAUAAUGAAAAUCUUACUAAUCAUAACAUGGCUCCUUCUGUCUGCUAUUGGUUUUGCCCUUUCUGUUUGGUCCAUUUACAUGGUUACAACUAGUAGCUACAUUUUAUUUUUAAUCUUUCAUAUAUUAUAAAUCUUCACACAGAUUUAAAUGUCCAUGCCAUAUUUCAUCACAGGCAAACAUCUCACUUUAUAUACUUAACCUACUUGCACGGUAUGUGAUUAGCGAUUCUUUUUUACUAUAGCAACAGAUGCUGAAUUGAUUAUAUCCUCUUGUUUCUACUCUCUAACCUUCAUAGAGUUCAACAGUGAGAUUAGCAGAACCAUAAUCAGUCAUAAAAAACCUGGAAAACCUUAGUAAUUCUUGAAAUGUUCUAAUACAGGCCGUCUUUAUUGCUUUCCAUCCCACUUUUCAAACUCAUUCAAAUAUAUAUAUAUAUAUAUAUGUAUAUAUGGCAUCUUGCUUCUAUAACUUAAGGGACUGAAAUAGUUACAAUUGAGACUCCAACUGAGUCACACGAACUUUCUGAGCUUUUCGAAGAAUUUAAAAGUUAUUUUAUACUACUUUUUGUUUAUUAAAGGUAUAGCAACAUGAUAUGCUGCCUCGUUUUAUGUCAACCUCAAGUCAUCUGAGAGGAUGGAGCCUCAAUUAAGAAAAUGUGUCGUCCAUCAGAGAAAGCACCUGGCCUCACGGAGACUUCAAGUGCCAGGCUCCUGCCUCCAGGUUCCCACCCUGCUUGAGUUCCUGUCCUGACUUUCUUCAAUGAUGAACAGUGAUGUGGAUUAACCCUUUCAUCUCCAACUCAUUUUUUGGCGGUUGUGGUGUUUCAUCGCAGCAACAGAAACCCUAACUAAGACGGAUGUCUAAAGGAACAAUAUAUAACAUUAAUUAAAAAAUAUUACAGUGUGAAACAUA